rnacentral:rRNA from 1 species
GUGAGGAAUAUUGGUCAAUGGGCGGGAGCCUGAACCAGCCAAGUCGCGUGAAGGAAGAAGGAUCUAUGGUUCGUAAACUUCUUUUGCAGGGGAAUAAAGUGCAGGACGUGUCCUGUUUUGUAUGUACCCUGAGAAUAAGGAUCGGCUAACUCCGUGCCAGCAGCCGCGGUAAUACGGAGGAUCCGAGCGUUAUCCGGAUUUAGUGGGUUUAAAGGGUGCGUAGGUGGUUUGAUAAGUAAAAGGUGAAAGUUUGCAGCUUAACUGUAAAAAUGCCGUUGAAACUGUCGGACUUGAGUGUAAAUGAGGUAGGAGGAAUGCGUGGUGUAGCGGUGAAAUGCAUAGAUAUCACGCAGAACUCCGAUUGCGAAGGCAGCUUACUAAGCUACAACUGACACUGAAGCACGAAAGCGUGGGGAUCAAACAGGAUUAGAAACCCCGGUAGUCC